GGCGCCAUGGCUUAAUUGGUUAAAGUGCGUGUCUAGUAAACAGGAGAUCCUGGGUUCUAAUCCCAGCGGUGCUU
rnacentral:tRNA from 1 species